GAUGAACGCUAGCGGGAGGCUUAACACAUGCAAGUCGAGGGGCAGCAUAGGGUAGCAAUACUCUGAUGGCGACCGGCAAACGGGUGAGUAACGCGUAUGCAACCUACCCUGUACAGGGGGAUAACCCGGAGAAAUUCGGACUAAUAUCCCGUAAUAAUAUCCGGAGGCAUCUUUGGAUAUUUAAAGUUUCGACGGUACGGGAUGGGCAUGCGUAACAUUAGCUGGUUGGUAAGGUAACGGCUUACCAAGGCUAUGAUGUUUAGGGGUCCUGAGAGGGUGGUCCCCCACACUGGUACUGAGACACGGACCAGACUCCUACGGGAGGCAGCAGUGAGGAAUAUUGGUCAAUGGGCGCAAGCCUGAACCAGCCAUCCCGCGUGCAGGAAGACGGCCCUAUGGGUUGUAAACUGCUUUUCCAGGGAGAGAAACUUACGCACGUGUUGCGUGACUGACGGUACCUGGGAAUAAGCAUCGGCUAACUCCGUG
rnacentral:rRNA from 1 species